rnacentral:rRNA from 1 species
GGGGGGCGUGCGAGGUGUAAGCCCAGCCAUGCAAGUCGAACGCUGAAGCCCAGAAGCUUGCUUCGUGGUGGAUGAGUGGCGAACGGGUGAGUAACACGUGAGUAACCUGCCCCUGAUUUCGGGAUAAGCCUGGGAAACUGGGUCUAAUACCGGAUACGACCACCUGACGCAUGUCGGGUGGUGGAAAGUUUUUCGAUCGGGGAUGGGCUCGCGGCCUAUCAGCUUGUUGGUGGGGUAAUGGCCUACCAAGGCGACGACGGGUAGCCGGCCUGAGAGGGCGACCGGCCACACUGGGACUGAGACACGGCCCAGACUCCUACGGGAGGCAGCAGUGGGGAAUAUUGCACAAUGGGGGAAACCCUGAUGCAGCGACGCAGCGUGCGGGAUGACGGCCUUCGGGUUGUAAACCGCUUUCAGCAGGGAAGAAGCGAAAGUGACGGUACCUGCAGAAAAAAUACCGGCUAACUACGUGCCACCAGCCGCGGUAAUACGUAGGGUACGAGCGUUGUCCGGAAUUAUUGGGCGUAAAGAGCUCGUAGGUGGUUGGUCACGUCUGCUGUGGAAACGCAACGCUUAACGUUGCGCGUGCAGUGGGUACGGGCUGACUAGAGUGCGGUAGGGGAGUCUGGAAUUCCUGGUGUAGCGGUGAAAUGCGCAGAUAUCAGGAGGAACACCGGUGGCGAAGGCGGGACUCUGGGUGUAACUGACACUGGAGGAGCGAAACCUGGGGAGCGAACAGGAUUAUAUACCCCUGGUAGUCCAUGCCGUAUACGUUGGGCACUACGUGUGGGAGACAUUCCACGUUCUCCGCGCCCAAGCUACGCAUUAAAUGCCCCCGCGUGGGGAUUACAGCCGCAACGCCUAAAACUCAACGAAAUGUACGUGGGGGCCCCCCCAACCGACGGGAGCAUGGGGCAUUAAUAUCCAGUGCUGCGCCGAAGA